UACGUAGGGUGCAAGCGUUAAUCGGAAUUACUGGGCGUAAAGCGUGCGCAGGCGGUUUUGUAAGUCUGUUGUGAAAUCCCCGGGCUCAACCUGGGAAUGGCAUUGGUGACUGCACGGCUAGAGUGUGUCAGAGGGGGGUAGAAUUCCACGUGUAGCAGUGAAAUGCGUAGAGAUGUGGAGGAAUACCGAUGGCGAAGGCAGCCCCCUGGGAUAACACUGACGCUCAUGCACGAAAGCGUGGGGAGCAAACAGG
rnacentral:rRNA from 1 species